UUUACCGUUUAUUAUUAUUAUUAUUAAAAACGUAAAAAAUUUAGUAAUUUGUUUUCGUAUACUCAAUUGCAUAAGAAUGUAUUUAUGAAGUUAUAAUGUGUAUGAGGAUGGAUUUCUUGACACGUUCCUCUACAUCAGCGCCAUCUGUGGAUGUAGAUAGAAAUCUAAACGACGUAGUAACCAUUUUGCGUGAUGCAUAGAAACGCUUCGAAAAUUGACUUCUUUCGUGACGGAUCAUGGCAUUAUGUUCUCUUAACCACAUAUUUUACCAAUAAGUUCGUCUACGUGUCACGAAACAAGCCGAUAAUGACAUUAAAAAGAAUCUCCUUAGCAUAUUAUUUUUAAUUUUUAACUAAUUUUCACAUUAUAAUCGAUUCGAGAUUAAAGUCGAUUUUACCAAUUAUGCAAAAAUAAAACCAACUUAUUAUAUUCAAAACAUAAUUAUAUACAUAUUUCAAACGCGAUAAGAGCAAAAAAAUCGAAUUAGUUCGAUUAAUUUUUAUAUAAGCGAAGGAAAAUGCAACUUGUAAUUGUAAUCUGCUAUGGAUUAUGGAGCAGUUUGGCUCGGGUGGUCUUGGCUCGGGUGGUCCUGUGCUAGAAAACAUUUAAUUUGGAUCUAAUUUCUACUCGUUGACCUAACCAAGAGAGCUGAGGGAUUGCAAAGAUUAUAGAUUACAGAGGUUACACCUACAGAAGAAAUUUAAAUGUUAUUUUCCUUUAGCUUUCAAUGCUUGACUGACUACAGAUGCAUUUACAUAAGGAAAUCGCCUUUUCAUAUAUAGGCCUAUAACAAUUAAGAGAAAAUUGAGCCUUGGAUAGAAUUAUGAAUUGAUUGCUGAAUCAUCAAAUCUUACAAGUUGUAGCUUUCAAAUACUUAUAUAAUACAUUUACAUAGCCAACAUAUACUGUAUUUUUGUAUAUAAUUAAUAAAAUAUUUAUUUAA